rnacentral:misc_RNA from 1 species
GUAGGUGAACCUGCGGAAGGAUCAUUACCGAAUUGUCAACAAGGGUUGUUGCUGGCCCCUGUAUGGGGGCAUGUGCACGCUCUGUUUACACAUCCACUCACACCUGUGCACCCUCUGUAGUUCUAUGGCCUGGGGGGCCCUGUCCUCCUGCUGUGGUUCUAUGUCUUUACACACACACCGAAAUAAAGUCUAAUGGAAUGUAUGUCGCGUUUAACGCAAUGAAAUACAACUUUCAGCAACGGAUCUCUUG